rnacentral:rRNA from 1 species
UACAGAGGGUGCAAGCGUUGCUCGGAAUCAUUGGGCGUAAAGGGUAGGUAGGUGGUCUCAUUUGUCUGGGGUGAAAGCCCAGGGCUUAACCCUGGAAGUGCCCCGGAAACGGUGAGACUGGAGUCUUGGAGAGGGUCGUGGAAUUCCCGGUGUAGCGGUGAAAUGCGUAGAGAUCGGGAGGAACACCAGCGGCGAAGGCGGCGACCUGGACAAGUACUGACACUCAACUACGAAAGCGUGGGGAGCAAACAGG